CCCCUUGCCCCCUCCUAUUGGUAGUCAUGCAUGAUGUACAUGUGACUAGUAACGUGUUAUCUUGUAAUAUUUUUAUGUAGAAAUGUUCAGCUAAUGGUACAGGAUGUGGUGUUUGUCAUUCAAGGGAUCUGUUGUUCAGGUUUAGUGAAGAUGUGGUUAUAUGUCCUAACUGCUCCUCACACUUUCACUGGUUAUAGCAAGUUCCUGUUAAAGGUUGGAGUACAUUAGGUUAAUGACACGAAGAGGAUAAGUACAAUUCUCUGCUAUUGAAGACUACAUUGAGAAGUUAAUUGUUUGCUGUUUGAAGCUGUACAUAUUAACUGAAGACUAUAAAGAAUUACAUAACAUUAUUGUUUAUAAUUUUAGCAUUUUGUUUAAUACACAAAGUUGUCUUUUUAUCAUUGAUUAUUAUGAA